UCUAUUUGAGUCCUAGUUUAUAUUUGACAGGUUCAAAGUAUCUAAAAGAGAUACCAAAGUUGAUUAGGUAAGAAUGAAUAAGGGUAGCGUGUAACUGAGAUGGCCCAAUAGGCAAUAGUUGGUAGCAUUUAUUGGUGAAUUGAUUCAUGUUGAAACAUAUUUAUUGGAUGGUGUGGACAUAUACCCCGUCGGCCCAAUAAGCCAAUAAGUAGAAUUAAAGGAGACAGUUAAGGCUUGAUUAAACAGUAUUCAAUACAAAAACAAAGAGAUUAGCU
rnacentral:lncRNA from 1 species